rnacentral:lncRNA from 1 species
AUGGCCCACGCAGGGCUCAGCGCCGCCGAUGCCUGCCGCUCCGCGCCAUCCGCCCGGGGAAGCUUGAAGUCGAGGUUGGGCCCGGGUCCCGGGACUAAGGAUCCACCAGCCCGAGAGAACCCAGUAUGUGGGUUCCACGCUUGGCCGCGCCAACCGCCUGGAUCUCCGCGCAGCCGCCGCCGCCCGCAGCGCCGGCCUCAACUUGAAGAGAAAGAAAAGUUUGUUCAGAGGCGGCGGGGGAGGGGCGGGAACGGAGCUAGGAGCUGGCCGGUCCCCUCCCCCUCCACUCGGCCCAGAGCCCGGGCCGCCCCUGCCCCCAGCCUCUCUCGGCAAGGACGAUGCUCCGACAGCCCUACAGGACCCGCAAGACCAGCACCUCCCAAGUCCCACAAUUAUUUUGUCCCCCCACCUCAAGAAGAUCCAGUUCCCCGGUACCCGCUCCGGGACAACUUGUGAGUCCAAGUUCUCGCUGGUGAAUUCAAUCCUUCCAACGAUUCGCAAUGAGAUGACCCCUAAUCCCUAUGCAAAUCUGAUUCUACUACACACAUCUCUUCUACUCGGCACCCCCACAGCCUUGCGGGAUCAAGGUUCGGAAAGCAAGGCUCCAGGAUAG